rnacentral:snRNA from 1 species
GUGCUGGCUUCAGCAGCACAUACACUAAAAUCGGAAUGAUACAGAAAUUAUCAUGGCCCCUGUACAGGGAUGACAUGCAAAUUCGUGAAGCCUUUUUGU